UAGGGAAUAUUGGACAAUGGGCGAAAGCCUGAUGGUGCGACGCCGCGUGAGGGAUGAAGGCCUUCGGGUUGUAAACCUCUGUCACCGGGGAAGAAACGCUUCAAGUUAAGAGCUUGAAGCCUGACUUAACCCGGAGAGGAAGCAGUGGCUAACUCUGUGCCAGCAGCCGCGGUAAUACAGAGACUGCAAGCGUUAUUCGGAUUCACUGGGCGUAAAGGGUGCGCAGGCGGCCAAGUGUGUGAGGCGUGAA
rnacentral:rRNA from 1 species